GGGAUGGGUGGAGACGCAGCUCAGGGUCAGCUCUGCCUUCGCGGAGGCCCAGGGCUCCUCAGAGCUGGGAGCUUCUGCUUCCUACUUCCAGGGAAGAUGCUGCACGUUGCUUCCAGGAGUGGAGAAGAGAAAGAAGGGCCCUGAUCACUGUGUCUCCAGCGCUGGCACUCAGCCCGUUUGGCACGGAGUAGGAGCUCCAGGCACAGCUGCUGCGUGAAUAAAUGAUAAAGAAUUGUAAAAGUGACAACUAAUGUCUUCAGAGCACAGACCCCAAGAUGCACACCAUGGAGAUACUCACUUAAUCCUGGCAGUGAUACGGAGAGCUGACUGCUUUUCUUGUCCUCAUUUUAGAGGGGGCAAUUGAGGCACAGAGAGGUGAAGUGACUUGCCCAAGGUCACACAGCUGGGGACUGGCUUGGACAGGUGUAGGGGGCAUGGGGAACCAAUUCACUGAGCCAUGGGCUUGUUCUACAUUGUACCUGACGACAGCCCUCAAUUUGCAGAAGAGGAAACCGAGUUGCAAGCGCCACGGGUUGUGCUGGGUCAGCUGCCAGACAGGCAUUUGGCACAGUUUCCAGGGCAGGGGUCACACCCCUCUCCACAGACGCCCCCUCCGGCACCUUGGGCCCUAACCUGCUCUUCCUCCUCCAGGAAGCCUCCCAGGAUGCCCUCUUCCCAGCCCAGAGGGCAGCACAAAGGCAUCUCAGGCCUCCCUGACCCCAGGAAGUUACUCAACAAGCAUUUUUCAAUCACAACUACUGUCAGCCACCAUGGCUAGCCCUGGAGAACAAGCAGUGACCAAGACCUGACUUUGAGUCCAGUGGGGAGACUUCCACAAGAUCACCAAAUGCAUUUAUAACAGUCAACAGAAAAAGGCCACAAGAGAAAGAUGUAGAAGCUACAGGAGCAUCUGGGAGGGACAGGCAGGGAGGGCUUUCAGGAGGAGCUAAGUCCAGGGCCGACGAGUGUAAACUCCCAAAGCUGGUGGUUGAGUCCUCCAACUAUUUAUUUUAAACAAUUCUAAUUAAUACACUAAUAUUGAGAAUAAAAAUUAUGCAUGGUUGCCACAAUGGCUAACAA